GACGAACGCUGGCGGCGUGCCUAAUACAUGCAAGUCGAACGCUUUUUCUUUCACCGGAGCUUGCUCCACCGAAAGAAAAAGAGUGGCGAACGGGUGAGUAACACGUGGGUAACCUGCCCAUCAGAAGGGGAUAACACUUGGAAACAGGUGCUAAUACCGUAUAACACUAUUUUCCGCAUGGAAGAAAGUUGAAAGGCCCUUUUGCGUCACUGAUGGAUGGACCCGGGGUGCAUUAGCUAGUUGGUGAGGUAACGGCGCACCAAGGCGACGAUGCAUAGCCGACCUGAGAGGGUGACCGGCCACACUGGGGCUGAGACACGGCCCAGACUCCUACGGGAGGCAGCAGUAGGGAAUCUUCGGCAAUGGACGAAAGUCUGACCGAGCAACGCCGCGUGAGUGAAGAAGGUUUUCGGAUCGUAAAACUCUGUUGUUAGAGAAGAACAAGGAUGAGAGUAGAACGUUCAUCCCUUGACGGUAUCUAACCAGAAAGCCACGGCUAACUACGUGCCAGCCGCCGCGGUAA
rnacentral:rRNA from 1 species